rnacentral:rRNA from 1 species
UACGUAGGGGGCGAGCGUUGGCCGGAAUUAUUGGGCGUAAAGGGCGCGUAGGCGGUCUGUCGCGUCGGUUGUGAAAACUCAGGGCUUAACCCUGAGCCUGCUUCCGAUACGGGCAGACUAGAGGUAUGCAGGGGAGAAUGGAAUACCUGGUGUAGCGGUGAAAUGCGCAGAUAUCAGGAGGAACGCCAGUGGCGAAGGCGGUUCUCUGGGAAUUUCCUGACGCUGAGGAGCGAAAGUGUGGGGAGCGAACAGG